GUCUACGACCACACCUAGGCGAAAACACCAGUUCCCGUCCGAUCACUGCAGUUAAGCGUCUGAGGGUCUCGUUAGUACUAUGGUUGGAGACAACAUGGGAAUCCGGGAUGCUGUAGGCU
rnacentral:rRNA from 1 species